CCUACGGGAGGCAGCAGUGAGGAAUAUUGGUCAAUGGACGCAAGUCUGAACCAGCCAUGCCGCGUGCAGGAAGACGGCUCUAUGAGUUGUAAACUGCUUUUGUACGAGGGUAAACGCAGAUACGCGUAUCUGUCUGAAAGUAUCGUACGAAUAAGGAUCGGCUAACUCCGUGCCAGCAGCCGCGGUAAUACGGAGGAUUCAAGCGUUAUCCGGAUUUAUUGGGUUUAAAGGGUGCGUAGGCGGUCUGUUAAGUUAGAGGUGAAAUCUCGAGGCUCAACUGCGGAAUUGCCUCUGAUACUGUCCGGCUAGAGAGUAGUUGCGGUAGGCGGAAUUUAUGGUGUAGCGGUGAAAUGCUUAGAGAUCAUACAGAACACCGAUUGCGAAGGCAGCUUACCAAGCUACUUCUGACGUUGAGGCACGAAAGUGUGGGGAUCAAACAGGAUUAGAUACCCUUGUAGUC
rnacentral:rRNA from 1 species